rfam:Felis catus isolate Cinnamon breed Abyssinian chromosome A2, whole genome shotgun sequence.
GCCUGGGUGGCUCAGUUGGUUGAGUAUCCGACUUUGGCUCAGGUCAUGACCUCACAGUUUGUGGGUUCAAGCCCCGCGUCAGGCU